GAGAAAAUCUACACCUGUUGAAUGGAAUUAUUUAAAUUAGCAAUUGGUUCGCGUACCACGGAAUUGCGUGGACGGUCAAAUUUGGUCAGAAGUGAAGACCGGAAUACAAACGCGAAUAUUUGGCGUGUAAUAAAUUGUGUAGAGGGGUUCGAGUCGAAUAAGUUUUUACGUCGAAAUAAUAAGGGUUUGAAUACGUACUCCACUUUUGAGUUAUAUAUUUGGGUUUAUGCGACGAGUCAUGGGGCAAAUCAAUUGGGAACUGUAGGUAUGUAUGUAGGUAGGCAAGUACGUUGAGUGAAAUAGGAUAAUCGCGUGGUCAAAAG
rnacentral:misc_RNA from 1 species